rnacentral:rRNA from 1 species
UAUUGAUGUAUAGAAUUCUGAAUGCACCCGAGCUCAUCUGAUCUUGGAAGAUAAGCAGGUUUGGGCCUGGUUAGUACUUGGAUGGGAGCACUUUUCUUUGUUAUGUAAUAAGACACAUGCAGUAA